rnacentral:misc_RNA from 1 species
UGAUUCCUUCCAUUCUUUUAAUCCCUUAUAAGAUCAUUUAUUGCCAUCAGGAAGCCACGUUAUGCUGCUUUCAUUGGUAAUAUAUGUAAGAAAACUAGGGCUUUACACUAACUUAUGUUGUAUGGUAAAUAUUUGCUUGAAGCAACACGAUGCAAGUAGAGUAUAAUUAAUAAAUGAUCUGGUUUCCAUUUCAUCUCCAGCGUUUCUGCUAGAGACAUUGCUCUUUUCAUGCAUAGUGACAGUUGCAGAUUCUCUUAACUUAAUGCCCCACUUGGUAAUGAAGUAAUGAACCUGUUGCUGUCAUAUCAUGAAUCUUCCAUCAGAAAAUUUUAAAGAAGAUGAAGAUGUAAUUAUAAUCAUUAUAAAUAGUUCAAUGAAUGGGAUUUCAGUUUCUGCAGUAGUUCCAUCAAGAUGGCUAAAAUCAAAUUUGAUAUUUGAUACUAACCGCAUUCAUAUAUCCAUUAUGAUACAGAGAAUCUGGAGAAUCUGGAGAAAUACUAAAAAAUAUCUAACCUAAAUCCUAAAAAGAAAAGAGAAUAUCAGACAAUGUGUUUCCCCCUCUUCAGAUACUGAUUUUUUUUUUCAUUCUUUUUUGGCACUGAGGUGGUUGUGAAACCAAAUGAGGACACUGCAUUUUCUUACCUGGGCUGUACUAAUCACAAAUGCUAGAACUGUCAAUGUGACCAUUAUUCAGAUUUAGGAUGGGAAGUAGUGAUCGUUUGCCACUCUAAAGCCUAUACUCUUUGUAAGGGACUAAACAAGCAUACUGCAAAUCAAUAGAAGACAGAGAGAAGUUGCACGAAAUGUAUUAGGAAGUAUCUAUUAUAUCAUUAAUUCAAAGAAUUUUCAGUGCAAGAUCUACCUAAAAACAUAUUUCUCAUAUACAAGAGAAUGUACAAAAGCAAGAAAAGGCUUUAAAGUCUCCUCAACGUACCAAAAUCUUUCCGCAAACUGUAUCUGCACUGUGCCAAAAUUGGAGCACAAAUGAUCAUUGAUAAGAUUAAACUUCAUUCAGUCGCCUAGAACCCUUUUCUGCAAGCUUAUGCGUUCCUAGAGUCACCAUAAAAGACUUAAUCUUUAUAGGAAUCAUGAUGUGUUGACCUCUUAAAUGACAGGGAUUGGAAGAGACUGUCAGUCACAACCUGCAGUAGCUCCAGUUGGCGCAUUGUCAUUCCCAUUGGCUGACUUCAGAGCUCCCUUAUCAGUAACUUCUGAGGCUUCGCCACUAUUUUGCACCAAAGCAGGCUGUUCAAAACGUUCAUUUGUCACUUGGCACUGGCAUUACAAAAAGUGAACCUUAGCUUCACAUUUCUUCAGGAAAAUGUGAUCUCAUAAAAUUGUACUCACCAAUCAGAAACAUCCACAGUUAUUAAACAUAAAAUAGAGAAACAAACAAAUCAAUUGGAUGAUAGCAGAACAGAAUGAUUUUUAUUUUUUUUAAUAAAUUUUCCAUAAGCACCUCCUUCAAGGGGUAACACAAAUAACAAAAAUUCAAUAUGAAGAAGUAAGAAACUGAAGCCUUCUAUAUUUCAACUGAUUAUCAAAUAAGCAAGAAUUAGAUUUUAUAUGUUGAAAAUUUAAUAUGAAAAUUUAUUAGAUGGCCAUCCCAUAGCAUCUCCUCUUUGUCCGCAACAACAAUUUUCCUCACUGAAACAUUCAUAUGUAAAUAUUUGGGCAUGCUGUGCUUAUAUGUCAAAUGCUUUCCUUCUCCAACAUGAAGAAGAGCUGUGGGGAUGGCUCUUUCAUGGACAGAGGAUGCAUGUUAAUCUUCUCUAUAAAAUCAUAGUAUAGAUGACGUGUUUAAGGGUUCACUUUUCUAGUCAAAGAAAAUGCAGUUGCAACUUAAACUUAAUGAUGAAUUUGCAAACCUGACUAGAUGUCUGAUUCAUUGAGCUAUUGGCACCACAGUUUUGCAUAGCUUGUGAGUUGAUGUUUUGAAUUGAAUCCUUUGAACUGGAGCCUGGGGCUGAAUCCAAAUUAUCCAUGGGACCUGCCACCCCAACAGCAUUCAGUCCCAUGGUAGUUUUUAAAAGAGGUCCUCCAGACGUUGGCAUUAAGGGUGCACAUGGGUAUGGCAUAGGAUAUCCUUGAGUAGAAAGCCCAAAUAUUGGAAGGUUAGAUCCUCCCAUCCCAUGCAAAGCACUGGGCCCCAACAUUGGUGGGCCAGGAAAAUGUGCUCCAUGCAUAGAAGGCACCUGAAUCAUAGAGCAACCAGAAGAUCCACCAACCAUAUCUGGCAUACCCAUCCCAAAACCCAUUCCGAUUCCCAUUCCCAUUCCAGCUCCCAUGGGUGAGAAUGGAAGCAUAUGACCAGCAUGCAUGUGAGGCAUUCCUGGGGGCAACAUCAUUGAUGGCAUAUACAAACCAGCUCCCAUUGCCAUAAUCUGUACUUGAAGCUGAAGUGUCUUUAAAUACUCAAUGGCCUCAUCAAGCAUAGAAGCUUUGUCCACCUUACAGCGAAAAAAAUCUUAGUCAACAGAAGCAAAGUUGAAAAGAAUUAUCCAGCAACUAUUCAAUGUCCAUAGGAUUUGAAGAAUAUGAGGAAGAAGUUCAACUUACACAAACCAAAGAGGGUCUAGAUUAGUAUAAAAGUCUAAAACCUUAAAUACAUGCACUUGAAUUCUCAGUUCUAAACUUCCACAAACAUGGACAAGCUUGGUUAAAUUGAUUCAACUUUGACAAGGCCAAGCCUUUGCGUAGGUAAUAUAUAAAUCUUUUAAUUUCUAGCAUUUCAAGAGAGUAACAAGAAAAAUCAGCAAGACAUAUAGAUUCAGAUAUUCAACCUUGUUGCAGUUUGGUAUGAGUUCUUGCAGGGCACGCAUCUUCUCAUUGAUCCUAUCCCGUCGCCUCUGUUUGUUGAAGUUCAAAUACAACCAAUCAAGAUAUUGUACCUCAAUUAUGCAAUACCAAAAAUAAGCAAACACGUUAUCUUCUGAAUAAUAUUGAAAGUUAACACUCUUAAUCACCCUUUCAGACAAAUUAUGUACUUCUGCUGCUCGGCUUCUCUUGGAGCCAGCACCUCCUCGAGCAGGAGCAGCCUUUUUUGCGCCUACUGAUUCCUCUUCAACAUCCUGCACGUUAUUGAUUUUCUCAAUACAUGGAAUAAACAAAUAAGAAACAAAGAGGCAAAAAUUGAAAAAAUAUGAAAUGUAUGUUUGAUCUUACUUCACUAGGCCCUUCAGAGUCCUCUGUUUCCCUUGGUUUUCUCUUCAAAUUCAGUGUUGGUUCAUCUGAAACAAUCUCCACACUAUUCCCUGAGCAAACAGAAGAAGCAACUACAGGCUCUGCAGUCUUUUCACCAUCUACCAAUCCUCGAGUUGCACUUUCAGCAAUUUGGCAAUGAUUUUUAUCAUUCUUAGAAUAUACUUGGUCCAAAGCCUCAGGUUGCUUUGCAGGAAGGGAUUCCUCAGCAGGCUUAGGGUCCAAUGGUUUAGCAUCAACCUUGGAUGACACCAAAACAGGAUUGUAAUUGGAGCUUAUUCCCUUUCGUAAACCACUAAAUGUGUCAAUGAGUAUGGAUUCACCAGGAUCGCUAAUGCUUGCAAUUGAACCCUUAUCCUUACUAACCAUUCUUUCGAUGCUUGAUAUUCCUGAACCAGCUCUUGUGCCAUUGUUAUGAAGAUUAGCUUUAACAAAAGCAGCAGGUCUUGAGAAAUGUGAGAAAUUCAUCAAACUGGAGCUAGUAGAAGAUGAGACUGGAACUUGCUUUUGCACUUUAAUGCUAGGAAAACCACCUCCUGAAGGUGGAACUCGUAUUGAAUCCCCAGAAGUAGCAUGGGGAGCCAAAUUGCUUACACUAUCACCAUUAUUAGCUGAAACUCUGGAUCUAAAAUAUGGAAGUGAUGUUUGGCAUUGCUGUGAUGGAGAUGGAUAUGACUGACUGGAACUAUUUCUAGGUCUAUUAGCAUCAACAUCCACUGCUGAUGAAAACUUUGUCAUGUGCCCUUGAUCUGAACUCAAACCAUUAUGUACAGAAGCAUUAUGGGGAUCUUUAACUGAUUGAUUACCACAACUUCUCUUUUCCAUUGAUGCACAAUUCUGGGAAUGUUCGUUUACAGUAACACCAGAUAAUUCAAUAAAAAACUCGGGACAAUAAUCAUGUUGCAGAGAGUCUUCAAACGGAUAAUUUAACCAAGGUAACGUGUCAUUAUCUUGAUUCAAACCCAUUUCAACAGACGGCACGGACAUUGGAACUUCAUCUAUUACAGAGUCUAUGACCCCAAAUCUUCCCAUGUUAGCAUUGCUGCCAUUACUUAUGUCUUUAUCUCUAAUCUUGGAGGUUUGAGAUGGAAAACUACUAGAGCAUUGGAUCUUUCUAGCCCUAUUGGACUGAAUUUGACCAUUUUCCCAUACUAGCUCAACAAAGUCAUUCUCAGGUUCGGAAGAUAGAUCAGUUGAGCAUGUGAGAUUCUUCUCCUGAGAAGAAUCAAGCUUUCCUUUAGCCAAACGAUAUACAAGCUCAGAUAAAGGCAUGGUGAAGGGUUGGCACCACUUUUCUUACAAAAGAAAUGCCCCAAAUUCAAUCACUUCGCCAUUAUCAGUACCUUCCAAACACCAGUAUUUUAACUCUAGCAAAAGUUCAAAGAACCCAAGAACAUAUAGUGAGACAAAAAGUUUUCAAGACAUAAAAACUCGACCAAAACCCCCACAAUAAGACAAUCCCAGUUAUUAGUACAACAGACAAGGGAAAUAAAAGAAAAAGAAAAGAGUACUCCUUCUACAGCUACAUAAUUUACAGAAUAUAAUCUUUCUUUUAAAACAGCAAUCCUUAUCAGUAAUCAGUGACGCUUAUAUAAAUAUAAAAAAAGUUAUAAUUAAAUAUAAAGUACCAGUCAAACCUAUUCUUAAUGGCUCCCAAAGAUCCCAAAAAAAUAAAAAUUCCAAAUUAACCUUUAAAAAAUUGCAAAAAAUGGAUCUUUUCCGCUUCUCUAAUGAUUAAACUCAAAACCCAGAAAAACCCAGAUCAUUUUUAAAAAUAAAUAAAUAAAUA